rnacentral:rRNA from 1 species
GACGAACGCUGGCGGCGUGCUUAACACAUGCAAGUCGAACGAAGAGCGAUGGAAGCUUGCUUCUAUCAAUCUUAGUGGCGAAUGGGUGAGUAACGCGUAAUCAACCUGCCCUUCAGAGGGGGACAACAGUUGGAAACGACUGCUAAUACCGCAUACGAUCUAAUCUCGGCAUCGAGGAUAGAUGAAAGGUGGCCUCUACAUGUAAGCUAUCACUGAAGGAGGGGAUUGCGUCUGAUUAGCUAGUUGGAGGGGUAGCGGCCCACCAAGGCGAUGAUCAGUAGCCGGUCUGAGAGGAUGAACGGCCACAUUGGGACUGAGACACGGCCCAGACUCCUACGGAAGGCAGCAGUGGGGAAUCUUCCGCAAUGGACGAAAGUCUGACGGAGCAACGCCGCGUGAGUGAUGACGGCCUUCGGGUUGUAAAGCUCUGUUAAUCGGGACGAAAGGCCUUCUUGCGAAUAGUGAGAAGGAUUGACGGUACCGGAAUAGAAAGCCACGGCUAACUACGUG